UACGUAGGUGGCAAGCGUUGUCCGGAAUUACUGGGCGUAAAGGGCGUGUAGGCGGCAAUCUAAGUCAGACGUGAAAGAUCAGGGCUUAACCUUGGGACUGCGUUUGAAACUGGAUGGCUAGAGGAUCGGAGAGGGCAGUGGAAUUCCCAGUGUAGCGGUGAAAUGCGUAGAUAUUGGGAGGAACACCAGUGGCGAAGGCGACUGCCUGGACGACACCUGACGCUGAGGCGCGAAAGCUAGGGGAGCAAACGGG
rnacentral:rRNA from 1 species